UACGAAGGGUGCUAGCGUUGCUCGGAAUCACUGGGCGUAAAGCGCACGUAGGCGGCUUUUUAAGUCGGUGGUGAAAUCCUGGAGCUCAACUCCAGAACUGCCUCCGAUACUGAAAGGCUCGAGUCCGGGAGAGGUGAGUGGAACUGCGAGUGUAGAGGUGAAAUUCGUAGAUAUUCGCAAGAACACCAGUGGCGAAGGCGGCUCACUGGCCCGGUACUGACGCUGAGGUGCGAAAGCGUGGGGAGCAAACAGG
rnacentral:rRNA from 1 species